ACUCAAAUGAAUUGACGGGGGCCCGCACAAGCAGUGGAGUAUGUGGUUUAAUUCGAAGCAACGCGAAGAACCUUACCAGGACUUGACAUAUUAAUGCAACACUAAGAGAUUAGUGCCUCUCUUCGGAGACGUUAUUACAGGUGGUGCAUGGUUGUCGUCAGCUCGUGUCGUGAGAUGUUGGGUUAAGUCCCGCAACGAGCGCAACCCUUGUUGUUAGUUGCCAUCAUUAAGUUGGGCACUCUAACGAGACUGCCGUUGAUAAAACGGAGGAAGGUGGGGAUGACGUCAAAUCAUCAUGCCCCUUAUGUCCUGGGCUACACACGUACUACAAUGGCUGUAACAGAGGGAAGCAAUAUAGUGAUAUGGAGCAAAUCCCAAAAUGCAGCCCCAGUUCAGAUUGUAGGCUGAAACUCGCCUACAUGAAGUUGGAAUUGCUAGUAAUCGCAGGUCAGCAUACUGCGGUGAAUACGUUCCCGGGCCUUGCACACACCGCCCGU
rnacentral:rRNA from 1 species